rnacentral:rRNA from 1 species
AUACGUAGGGUGCGAGCGUUGUCCGGAAUUACUGGGCGUAAAGAGCUCGUAGGUGGUUUGUCGCGUCGUCUGUGAAAUUCCGGGGCUUAACUCCGGGCGUGCAGGCGAUACGGGCAUAACUUGAGUACUGUAGGGGAGACUGGAAUUCCUGGUGUAGCGGUGAAAUGCGCAGAUAUCAGGAGGAACACCGGUGGCGAAGGCGGGUCUCGGGGCAGUAACUGACGCUGAGGAGCGAAAGCGUGGGUAGCGAACAGGAUUAGAUCCCCUGGUAGUCCAUGCCGUAAACGGUGGGCGCUAGGUGUAGGGGUCUUCCACGACUUCUGUGCCGUAGCUAACGCAUUAAGCGCCCCGCCUGGGGAGUACGGCCGCAAGGCUAAAACUCAAAUGAAUUGACGGGG